rnacentral:rRNA from 1 species
GAUGAACGCUAGCGGCAGGCUUAACACAUGCAAGUCGAGGGGUANAAGGGGCUUGCUCCUUUGAGACCGGCGCACGGGUGCGUAACGCGUAUGCAACCUACCUUGGACAGGGGGAAUAGCCCAGAGAAAUUUGGAUUAAUGCCCCAUGGUAUUUAGAAGCGGCAUCGCUUUUUCAUUAAAGAUUUAUCGGUUCAAGAUGGGCAUGCGUCCCAUUAGUUAGUUGGUAGGGUAACGGCCUACCAAGACGAUGAUGGGUAGGGGUCCUGAGAGGGAGAUCCCCCACACUGGUACUGAGACACGGACCAGACUCCUACGGGAGGCAGCAGUGAGGAAUAUUGGUCAAUGGGCGAGAGCCUGAACCAGCCAAGUAGCGUGAAGGAUGACUGCCCUAUGGGUUGUAAACUUCUUUAUAAAGGAAUAAAGUCGGGUAUGGAUACCCGUUUGCAUGUACUUAUGAAUAAGGAUCGGCUAACUCCGUG